AGCAGCCGCGGUAAUUCCAGCUCCAAUAGCGUAUAUUAAAGUUGUUGCAGUUAAAAAGCUCGUAGUUGAAUUUCGGGAUCAGUACGCCGGUCGUGCCUCCGGUAUGUACUGGUGUCACUGAUUCCUCCCUUCUGAAGAACCAUCAUGCCAUUAAUUUGGUGUGGUGGGGAAUCAGGACUGUUACUUUGAAAAAAUUGAGUGUUUAAAGCAGGCUCGCGCUUGAAUACAUUAGCAUGGAAUAAUGAAAUAGGACGUUUAUCCUAUUUUGUUGGUUUCUAGGAUUGACGUAAUGAUUAAUAGGGAUAGUUGGGGGCAUUAGUAUUCAAUUGUCAGAGGUGAAAUUCUUGGAUUUAUUGAAGACUAACUACUGCGAAAGCAUUUGCCAAGGAUGUUUUCAUUAAUCAAGAACGAAAGUUAGGGAUCGAAGACGACCAGAUACCGUCGUAGUCUUAACCAUAAACUAUGCCGACUAGGGAUCGGAUGAUGUUAAUUUUUAUGACUCAUUCGGCGCCUUAAC
rnacentral:rRNA from 1 species